rnacentral:lncRNA from 1 species
GAGGAGGACGCUGGCGACACCGCGGCGCUGCUGGGUCCGCCGGCCACCGCCGCUUCUCCGGGCCUGGAGGAUGGCGCUCGCUGCGGCGCGGGUGCCAGCGGGAAGUCUGGGAAGGUGGAGGAGCUGGCUCCAGCCGACAGGUAGGGGCGCGGCGAGCGCACAGCAGCAUCCGCGCCCUCCUCCUCCUCCUUGAUCUUCAAGCCAGGCGUCUGGAAGUCGCCGUAAAGAGGGAACACGUCCUCUUUGGGGUCGCCUUCCAGAGGGUAGGUGCAGUCUGGGAAGUCACCGCAGGGCACCGGCGGGGAUGGCGCGGAGGGCGAGCCCCUAGGCGGGGCAAAAGGGCCCUGGGCUGUGGCCCCGCCGUCGUAGCUGUCCCCCUCCAGCAGCUGCCGGGUGCGGGCGGCCAGGAGUGCGUGGUUCAGAGGCAGGAUGGGCACAUGGAUGAAAUCCACCACUGUGGUGGCCAGUGGGGAGCGCCCGGGGGCAAUGGGAGAGUCUUGCUCCAAGGAGACCCUAGGAGCAGAAAACCGUGAAUCUUCCUUUGGGACCAGAGUGACACCGCCUGGGGCCGCUGAGGCCGCGUUGGCUGCGACUCCUCCUCCGCUGCCGGUGCCUUCCAGUGCUCGAGGUUUGCUCUUUAGAAGCGGAGCUGCAGAGCCCUCGGUCUCCAGGCCACUGUCCUCUUCCACCUCCCCUGCAGCUGGCUGCGGGGACGGCUUCACCCCUGCCCCGGGCCAGUGAGCACUCCCCGAGGUAGGGAGCAACAGCUGCCUGGGUGGUGACAGUCCUUUGGGCAGCACCUUCUGUCCUGCUCCUGUCCCGGAGCUGUCGCCAGCCUUGAUCUCUGGCCGACUCAUGAGCGGGGACAACAACCCUUUGGUAGCAGGGACACUGCGGGGGUCUUCUGGAAGCUCUGGCCCAAAGAGACACCAGGAAGUGAUGGCCUCGCAGGCUGGAGGGCUGGCGUGACUCUGUUCGGUCCCGGAGGGAGUCAACAACGAGUCUAAGACACUGUCUAAGAGUCUGCUGUCCUUCUCCGGGGCUCUGGAAUUUCUGCCUCCUUCCCUAUGAGUGGCUUCUACCCCAGAGAAAGCUCCCUCCACGUCGGACAGCGACUGCUGGUCCCCUGUCUUUCCGUCUGGGAGCUCGGGACCCCGGCAGGACCGAGGAAAAAGCAGCCCGUCCAGGGAGAUCGGUAUAGGCGAGACUACAGACGACACGUCCGAGUGCUGGCUCCCUUGGAAGGGACCUGAGUCCAAGCGUGCAAGCAAGGGGGACCCGAUGUGUGGGGGGGAGGGCGAAGCGCCAGACGUGUGGAGAACCUGCGGAUCCUUUGCCUGCAGCUCAGUCAUGACGACCCAAGCUCCCCUUUUCUCCUCCCCUGUCUCCUGGGAGGAGGGAAAAGGGAAGGAGGAGGGGGUGCCGGUGAUAUAGGGGCAGAGGGAGGAGGAAGUGGGUGUAGAGUCGCAGGACCCGUGGGAUCUCCACCUCCUGGUUGGGAGGGGCGGUCUUGGUCAGCUCCUGUCCUUACCCUCCACCCAGACGCAGAGGAAGGGUGGUAGUCGCGCUGUCCCGGUCGCGGUGGGGUGAGGACAGGAAGAAGUAGCUGGAGCAAGCUGGUCUGGUCUGAGAACUGGGAGUUAUUCGAGAGACUUUUUUUCGUGUUUCUUCUUGAAUGGGAGACCCGGAACUGGUGUGGCCGGUGCUGAAAAAAAGGACUCCCGCUAUCUCCGGACUUCUUAUGUUUGUUGAAACCUAGACAUCCUAGGAAGUUUGCUUUACAGUCCUCACCAAAAACCUGGGGCUAAGACGUAGCCCAUUCUUACUCGUUCUCCUGCAGCGACAGUCUCUAUGGCUCCCUAGGUUCUCUACAAUCCCAGCGAGUUCUGGUUGCAGGUUGCUCUAGUAAAGCUAAGAGAAGUUAGCAGAAUGUCAGAAUCCUCGCACCCGUAAAUACUACAAAGACUGAUAGUGACAGUCUAGACUGGCUCCAUAGCUUUCUAGCAAGCGUUGGCGCUCUAGGAAGGCCCGCCCAAAGCCCCUCCCUAGCCAAUCACUGGCUAGAUCUAAAUCUCUGGCGUUGGAAUUCCAGCUACUCACUAGUCUGAUUCCACCUGGAAUAUCAGAUGCUUUGAGAAGAAAUCUAAACAUAUCAGAAUUUGUACUGAAUUAAGAAGCAUGCCAGCCCCACCCUAUAAAAAGCAAAGUUGUUGUAAAGAUUUCAGGAUUUGAAAAUAUUUGUAAAUAUUCAACACAGACAGUGACAUAUCGUGACAUUUUAUUUUUUGUAUAAAAGGUAU